rnacentral:rRNA from 1 species
GACGAACGCUGGCGGCGUGCUUAACACAUGCAAGUCGAACGGAAAGGCCCUGCUUUUGUGGGGUGCUCGAGUGGCGAACGGGUGAGUAACACGUGAGUAACCUGCCCUUGACUUUGGGAUAACUUCAGGAAACUGGGGCUAAUACCGGAUAGGAGCUCCUGCUGCAUGGUGGGGGUUGGAAAGUUUCGGCGGUUGGGGAUGGACUCGCGGCUUAUCAGCUUGUUGGUGGGGUAGUGGCUUACCAAGGCUUUGACGGGUAGCCCGCCUGAGAGGGUGACCGGCCACAUUGGGGCUGAGAUACGGCCCAGACUGCUACGGGAGGCAGCAGUGGGGAAUAUUGCACAAUGGGCGGAAGCCUGAUGCAGCAACGCCGUGUGCGGGAUGACGGCCUUCGGGUUGUAAACCGCUUUCGCCUGUGACGAAGCGUGAGUGACGGUAAUGGGUAAAGAAGCACCGGCUAACUACGUG